rnacentral:tRNA from 1 species
UAAGAUGUGGUUCAGUGGUAGAGCACUUGCCUAGCAUGUGUGAGGUCCUGGGUUUGAUCCCCAUCACCAUAA